GCCCUUCGGGGGUAUCCGAUAAAACUGGAAUGAUAAAGAGAAGAUUAGCAUGACCCCUACGUAAGGAUGACACGCACAAAUCAAGAAAUGGUCCAAAUUUUU
rfam:Triticum aestivum genome assembly, contig: Triticum_aestivum_CS42_TGACv1_scaffold_434833_5DL